rnacentral:rRNA from 1 species
AACGAACGCUGGCGGCAUGCCUAACACAUGCAAGUCGAACGAGACCUUCGGGUCUAGUGGCGCACGGGUGCGUAACGCGUGGGAACCUGCCCUUAGGUUCGGAAUAACUCCCCGAAAGGGGUGCUAAUACCGGAUAAUGUCUUCGGACCAAAGAUUUAUCGCCUUUGGAUGGGCCCGCGUUGGAUUAGCUAGUUGGUAGGGUAAAAGCCUACCAAGGCGACGAUCCAUAGCUGGUCUGAGAGGAUGAUCAGCCACACUGGGACUGAGACACGGUCCAGACUCCUACGGGAAGCAGCAGUGGGGAAUAUUGGACAAUGGGCGAAAGCCUGAUCCAGCAAUGCCGCGUGAGUGAUGAAGUCCUUAGGGUUGUAAAGCUCUUUUACCCGGGAUGAUAAUGACAGUACCGGGAGAAUAAGCUCCGGCUAACUCCGUG